GGUUAAGCGACUAAGCGUACACACGGUGGAUGCCCCGGCAGUCAGAGGCGAUGAAGGGCGUAAGCAUUCGCGAGAUAAGCGCCGGUAAGGGGUGAUAUGAACCGUUAUAACCGGCGAUACCCGAAUGGGGAAACCCAGUGCGACUCUCAAGGUCACACCAUCAUUAACUGAAUCCAUAGGUUAAUGAGGAGGCGAAACCGGGGAACUGAAACAUCUGGGCACCCCGAGGAAAAGAAAUCAACCGAGAUUCCCAGUAGCGGCGAGCGAACGGGGAGAGCCCAGAGCCUGAAUCAGCAUGUGUUAGUGGUACGCCCCUGAAAGCGCGCGCGAUACAGGCGACAGCCCCGUACACAAAAGCGCAUAGCAAAAGCGAGCUCGAUGAGUAGGGCGGGACACGUGGUAUCCUGUCUGAAUAUGGGGACCAUCCUCCAAGGCUAAAUACUCCUGACUAACGGAUGGCGAACCAGUACCGUGAGGGAAAGGCGAAAGAACCCGGCGAGGGAGUGAAAAGAACCUGAAACCGUGUACGUAAUAGCAGUGGAGCCCACCCGCUGUUUCGCUUUGUGUGGUGCAAUAAAGAAGCGUACCACAGCACUGAAUGACGGUUAACGAGCGCAAGCGACGUUCACCAUAGAAAGUCAAGCAGUGGAGCGCUUUUGGGGUGGGGUGACCGGUGUACCUUUUGUAUAAUGGGUCAGCGACUUGAGCCCUGGCAGCGCGUUAACCGAAUAGGGAGCCGGAGGGAAAACUGAGUUCUAACCGGGCGUUGUUGCAGGGUAUAGACCCGAAACCCGGUGAUUCAGCCAUGGGCAGGUUGAAGGUUGGGUAACACUAACUGAGGACCGAACCGUCUUCAUCGUUGAAAAAUUAGCGGCUUACCCUGUGGCUGGGGUGAAAGGCCAAUCAAACCGGGAGAUAGCUGGUUCUCCCGAAAGUUAUUUAGGUAGCGCCCGUGAAUUAUCCGGGGUGAGCACUGUUUCGGCUAGGGGCCAUCCCGGCUUACUCACCAACCCGAUGCAAACUGCGAAAUACCGGAGAAUGUUAUCACGGGAGACACACGGCGGGUGCUAACGUCCGUCGUGAAGAGGGAAACAACCCAGACCGCCAGCCAUGUCCCAAAGUCGGUUAAGUGGGAAACGAUGUGGGAAGCCCAGACAGCCGUGAUGUUGGCUUGUGCUGCUUCAUCAUUUAAAAGAAAGCGUAAUAGCUCACUGGUCGAGUCGGCCUGCGCGGAAGAUGUAACGGGCUAAAACCAUGCACCGAAGGUGGCAUAAACGUAUCGCAGACAACUUACGGAGUUGACGAUUGACGGAGCGAAGCGACGUCAAAGCGUUCAUAUUAAAGUCGAGCUGGCUAGGGGAUACGUCUGUUGGGCAGGGGAGCGUUCCCCAGUUCGCGAAGGUGGCCUGUGAGGGUUGCUGAGGUAUCAGAAGUGCGAAUGCCGACAUAAGUAACGAUAAAGCGGGUGAAAGCCCGCCUGCCGGAAGACCAAGGGUUCCUGUCCAACGUUAAUCGGGGCAGGGUGAGUCGACCCCUGCUGCGAGGCCGAAAGGCGUAGUCGAUGGGAAACGCGGGUUAAUAUUCCCGUAUUCUGGUGUUACUGCGAAGGGGGACGGAGAAGGCUAUGCUGGCCGGGCGACGGUUGUCCCGGUUUAAGCGUGUAGGUGUGUUCCAAAAUGGGAAACUGGUUCACUUUAACACUGAGGCGUGAUGACGAGGCACUACGGUGCUGAAGCAACAAAAUGCCCUGCUUCCGUGAAAGCCCUAAGCAUCAGGUAACAUCAAAUCGUACCCCAAACCGACACAGGUGGUCAGGUAGAGCAUCACCGCGCUUGAGAGAACUCGCGUGAAGGAAUCAGGGCAAAAUGGUGCCGUAACUUUCGGGAGAGAAGGCACGCUGACACGGUAGGUGAAGUGAUUUACCCAUGGAGCUGAAGUCAGUCGAAGAUACCAGCUGGCUGCAACUGUUUAUUAAAAACACAGCACUGUGCAAACACGAAAGUGGACGUAUACGGUGUGACGCCUGCCCGGUGCCGGAAGGUUAAUUGAUGGGGUCAGCGCAAGCGAAGCUCCUGAUCGAAGUCUCGGUAAACGGUACGUAACUAACGGUCCUAAGGUAGCGAAAUUGUCGGGUAAGUUCCACCGCACGAAUGGCGUGUAAUGAUGGGCUGCAAAGUUGUCUCCACCCGAGACUCAGUGAAAUUGAACUGCUGUGAAGAUGCAGUGUACCCGCGGUAAGACGGAAAGAUCUCGUGAACCUUUACUAUAGCUUGACACCGAACAUGAGCCUUGAUGUGUAGGGAUAGGUGGGAGGCUUUGAAGUGUGGACGCCAGUCCGUACGGAGCCAUCUCUUGAAAUACCGGCCACCCUUUAAUGUUGAUGUUCUAACGUGACCCGUUACCCGGUUGCGGACAGUGUCUGGUGGGUGUUUGACUGGGGCGGGUCUCCUCCUAAAGAGUAACGGAGAGCACGAAGGUUGGCUAAUCCCCGGUCGGACAUCAGGAGGUUAGUAAUGGCAUAAGCCAGUUUUGACUGCGAGCGUGACGGCGCGAGCAGGUGCGAGUUAGUCAUAGAUCCGGUGGUUCUGAAUGGAAGGGCCAUCGCUCAACGGAUAAAAGGUACCUGGGAUAAUAGGCUGAUACCGCCUAAGAGUUCAUACCGACGGCGGUGUUUGGCACCCGAUGUCGGCUCAUCACAUCCGGGCUGAAGUAGGUCCCAAGGGUAUGGCUGUUCGCCAUUUAAAAGUGGGGUACGCGAGCUGGUUAGAACGUCGAGACAGUUCGGUCCCUAUUCGCCGUGGGCGCUGGAGAACCGAGGGGCUGCCCGGUACGAGAGUGACCGGAGUGGACGCAUCACUGGUGUUCGGGUUGUCAUGCCACGGCACCGCCCAGCAGCUAAAUGCGGAAGAGACAAGUGCCGAAAGAAUUUAAGCACGAAACUUGCCCCGAGAUGGUUCUAGAUUCUAGAGUUCCUGAAGGAACGUUGAAGACGACGAUGUUGAUAGGCUGGGUGUAAGCGCAGCGAUGCGUUGAGCUAACCGGUACUAAUGAACCGUAGGCUUAACCCA
rnacentral:rRNA from 1 species